rnacentral:lncRNA from 1 species
CACAAACUUUUACAUUUAAUAAAAUACUUAGCCUUAUGGGGAAUUAAAAUUUUAAAGCCUAUUUCCCAACAAUCACAAAAUGUGACACCAAGCCACAGAAAUGUUAUACAUAGCUCACUAAAGGUUCGAUUCCUUAGAACGCGUCUAGAGAUGAGUGGCAACCAUGGCGCGAUUGAAAAUUCGGUAACGUCGAUGUUAGUUUAACCAUUUUUAAAUAUAACCGAAUCCCUCUACUUCCUUAGUAAUACAAGCAAAACUUAAAAUAUUAUUAUCAGAAGGUAUAUUUCAGUUUUUUAAAGUUCAAAUUAACUCGAUUAAAAUCGUUUAUAUUUAUUGCCGAUUAUACCGAUUGAUGAUUAUGAGUAUCCAGUAUUAAAUUAUUAGUUUAUAUACAAAAAAGCUGUCCUAGAAUAAUGGAUAUGAAAGCAGCCACUGUUAUAGGUAAUUUAUUGUAUAUCUGUAAGCAACGAUAAGCUAUUUCUAUAACGAAAAAACAAUUCUGAGCGAAGUUUAGUUGAUAGUGAUGGUUGAUCAACAAUAUAUUACAUGUAACAUUAUGGUAAAAUAAUUAAAUAGACAUUUUAUAUUAUUUUUAAUAAUAUAUGUUUAAUGUACUGAUUUUCCAGUUUUCCCUGCUUUUCCCAUAUGUUUUUUCUGGUUCUUCACACUUUCUAGGAAAACUCUUGAAAAAUCAAAAAAUGAUCUUCUUAAAAUACCUCUAUAGUCAAAUUUCCUUUCAGAAACAUUGCUAUCAUUAUAAGAUGGAGCGAAAUUGGUAGAAAAGUUGUUCACAGGACAAAAAAAAUCGUAAUAUUUUAUUAAUAUUUUUGUUACAUUUUCCCGUUUUUCCUCAGUUUUUUUUUCGGUUUUUCACAUUUAUUGGGAAAACUUCUGGGAAAAUCAAAAAAUAACUUCUUUAGAGUAUCUCCCUAGUCAGAUUUCCUGUUAAAAAAUAGUCUACAUCGUAUGCAUCGGAAUAAGCUUCUUGGUAGAAGUGUCAAAAAAAAAAAAUAAAUAAAUAAAUAAACAAAUGUCUUUGUAAAACCAUAAACUUCAAUUAUUCAUGGCCACAAUAUGAAAUGUAUAGGUAUAAACUAUUAAUUUGUUAAAUGGACAGUAGUGAUUGAAAUCUGUAUCUCAUUUUCAGAGCCGAGGAAAAUACGGCUACGUGGUCAUUAUAAUAUAUAAUGCGAUAAACGUAAAUUCCGGGAUAUAAACUGAACAUUCGAGUCGCAUAAAUAAUAAACCAAACUCAACGGGCCUUUUACGCGCUUGCGGCGGUGGUCUUAUUAAAAUCGGUACCCGUGGACAACUACAGACAACAGUAUAAUAAUAAUAUAAUACGAGUUUUUAAUUAGAAUGAAACUUGUUGACUAAGCGACCAAGGUGUUUUUAUACUUGAGCCUCGAAUAUCACACCUUUAUCCCUGUGAUGAGAACAUUUUACAAAAAUGAAAUGUGUUACACUGUAUGAAAAAUAAACAGAUUGUAUUCUUAAUCAGGAUUUUAGCAACUAAGUUUAUUAUAACUAAUGUACCUUAAAUUUUAAAUUGAGUACACGAAAUAUCGACUAACAAUAAUAAUUGCAUUUCUCCAACAGUGAAAUUAUGAAAUUCGAUAAUUCGAUUAGACGAUGUGUGAUAUUUAUACAGAGACUGCAAAGGUAUUUUAUGUUUUUGAGUAAAAAAGGCUGAUAACGAUUCUAAGUAGUUUAUUAUUGAUCGUAUUUUUUCCCUUGUUUCCAAGAUGACCAAAAGAUUGCCAGAUUUUGCCAUUUAUUAAGAGACUACAAGAAAAAUUAAUUCAUCAAUGCACGAAUAAAAUCAAAAAUUCUACAAGAAAGUUCUUAUAAAUUUUUCGAUUGAAGUCGAAUUUAUUGUAGAAAAGUUGAAAUUUUUGUAUACAGUAUAAAGAAAGUAAACAUGAUUGUAAAACCAAUACAUUCCUCGUUUCACUCAGAAUCUAAAACAUAAUAUCGAGUAUUUUAAUUAUAAAAAAGAUUCUAGGAGGUUAAAUGUGCUGUAAAUUUUAAGUACAAUCAGGUAGAAAUUUCAUAUAUUUUACUGUGGAAGCAAAAGCGAAGCAAAAGUGAAGCUUUUGCUUUUCAAAACAAAAACAUAAAAAGACAGCAUUUAGAAAAAUUAUUGGAAAUUCCAGACAAUUAUUCAUAGAAAGUAUCAUCAGACGAAUAACUUGCUUAUUUUAAGGUAUGACGUUAAUCAACAAGAAUAUUUUUACUAAUCGAAAAAGUUUUCCAAUGAAAAAAAACAUAUUUUUGUAAAACUAAUAUAUUUUCUUCAUUAUACUCAAACUUCAAAGGACAAAAUCUAAAAUAUAAUUCUCAAAAUUAGUUUGAAGCUAUUCAAAUUUUUUUUUUUCAAACAAAUAAUUUAUUAGUUUUGUUCUUAUGGGUAGUAAACCUAGCUAUUUAAUAUAGGUACCUUUAGUUCCCAUUAAAAUAAUAAUAAGAUUAUGUUUCCACUAAAAACCUAUUUCGAAACAAAUGUGUAGUAUUUACGUACCUAAGAACCUAUAGAUAAUGUAUAUUAUAAUAUAUAUAUAUAUAUUAGAAUAUAUAUUAUAUGCGAAUUAAAUAACGUAUCAUUAAUAUCAGUAUAAAUGUUUGUAGAUUGUAAUUAUUCCUCUAGAAGUUUUUUCCCAUCCUAAUUAUACAGGUGAUUCACUAAGUGUCAUCACCCCAUUUUUUGGUUAAGUUUUACAUGUAAUCAAAUUCUGAUUUUUGAAAUUCUUAGUGUAGCUAAAGCCAAUAUUUUCGAAUACUUAGAUUUUUACAACAUGUAAGUAGAAUCUUGUCGUGAUACCAACUUUGGUUUUUCAAAUGAGAAUCUCUAUUGAAAAUUUCAUAAAUAGACGGAAUAUUACUUUAAAUAAGUUUUGGUGUUGAAAAUUUUUUAUUUUCGUUAACUCGUUGACGAGAUAUUUCACUUUUAAGUUUAGGAAGGGGGAGAGUAGUGGAGUAUCAUUUGUGCGGCAGUACGGCGUGUGAUGUUUUAUUAGUGCUCCACUGGUAAUUGGCUGUUAAUGAUAAGAUUUGAACAAAAGCUUAUAAGUGACUUUAUACAAAAACCACAUUAUUACAGUAGUUUAAGAUAUAUAGCUCAGAAAGGGCCAAGGGGACAUUUUCUUGGACUUUUCCCCUUUCUACACUAAACACUAACUUUAGCUGUUGAUAUUUUCAUAACGGUUUGAUAGACUAGUCCAAUUUUUACGUAAACUAUUCAAGGUAAAUAAAUAUAAAUCCGAUAAUAACUCAAUUUCGUUAGAAAUUGGACUUAUACCCUUUCUGCAAUUAGUGAUUCAUAUAUUCAUAUAUAUGUUAUACGUAUUAUAAUAUAAAAUAAUAUAUUUCUACUAAUAAUAUAUGUUGUUAACAUAACGAAUUUAUACAAACUGCACUACAGCAUUACGAAAAAAAGAAAUUUCGGGGGGGGGAAGAAGGGGAGAGCACAUUCCCCUAGUGUGCCCCUGGCUAUGGCACUAAUAAUAAUAUAGAUAAUUUAGUAGUAUGUACAUAGGUACAUUAUACAUUUCAUAGGGAGAUUGACGGAAAAUUAGAAAAUCUUAGUAAAUUACUGUAGAGAUAAUUUACAUCUAAUAUUAGAACAAAAAAAUAAAACCUUCAAUUAGUUACACUUGUCACCAAUUAAUACCAUUAAAUAAGUAUAAUAUAUGAUUUAUAAAGGGUGUUAAAAUGCGCUGUAUUGUGCAAUUUAUAUCGUCGUAAAAUAUGUAAAUCUUUAUAAAGCGAGGCCAAUAAAGUAUACGGAUAAGAUAAAAAAAAAAAAAGGUCAAAUGCGUAUAUAUUAUAUAGUGCAAACACCCCUCUCCCCAAAAACAACGCCCUCGUUUGAUGAUCACCAUCAUCGUGUAAAUAUAUAGAGCUUGAAAAUUCGAAUCGAUUGAGUAGGAAUAAUUUGCAUACUAUUCUUGAACAAAAAGAGCGCUCUGUAUGAUGCAGUAUAAUAGCUAUAUAGUGGAUGGUGGAGGACAAAUUUCCUGCAUCAGAUAGAAUUUAUAACGAUUCUCAAAUAUUCGUUACUAUAUCCGUCCAAUUUGAGUCAUUGAUGGCGAAUUGGACAAGAUUAUAUUAAUAAAACUGAUGCGAAAAGCUGCG